AGCAGUCGCCACGGGAAUACGGAGGGUGCAAGCGUUAAUCGGAAUUACUGGGCGUAAAGCGCACGCAGGCGGUCUGACAAGUCAGAUGUGAAAUCCCCGGGCUUAACCUGGGAACUGCAUUUGUGACUGUAUAGCUAGAGUACGGCAGAGGGGGAUGGAAUUCCGCGUGUAGCAGUGAAAUGCGUAGAUAUGCGGAGGAACACCGAUGGCGAAGGCAAUCCCCUGGGCCUGUACUGACGCUCAUGCACGAAAGCGUGGGGAGCAAACAGGAUUAGAUACCCCAGUAGUCCCUGUCUCUUAUAC
rnacentral:rRNA from 1 species